rnacentral:lncRNA from 1 species
UCCUCUCUCUCUCUCUCUCUCUCUCUCUCUCUCUCUCUCUCUCUCCCCCUCCCGUCUUUAAUUUGCUUCUACUUCUUGCUUUCUUGAAUACUUCUCUCCCUCACCCCUAUUUAUUCUCGGUGUAAGAAGAGGAAGGAAGGGGGAGUUCAAGAAAGCGUGGACCGUAAGGACUAUUAUACCAUCCGGACAGAGACGAUAGCAUCGAACGCGAACAAGAAUUCGCCUCCGCCGCCGCCUCCACCUCCGGCGAUUACACCAAACGCUGCCGCGGCUUCCCACUUCUUUACGUUCUCCGACUCCAUUUCCUAUUUUUAUGUCCUUCGGGAAAGCAAUCGACGGUUUUU